UGGGGAAUAUUGGACAAUGGGCGAAAGCCUGAUCCAGCCAUGCCGCGUGUGUGAAGAAUGUCUUCGGAUUGUAAAGCACUUUAAGUUGGGAGGAAGGGCAGUAAUCGAAUACCUUGCUGUUUUGACGUUACCGACAGAAUAAGCACCGGCUAACUCUGUGCCAGCAGCCGCGGUAAUACAGAGGGUGCAAGCGUUAAUCGGAAUUACUGGGCGUAAAGCGCGCGUAGGUGGUUCGUUAAGUUGAAUGUGAAAGCCCCGGGCUCAACCUGGGAACUGCAUCCAAAACUGGCGAGCUAGAGUAGGGCAGAGGGUGGUGGAAUUUCCUGUGUAGCGGUGAAAUGCGUAGAUAUAGGAAGGAACACCAGUGGAGAAGGCGACCACCUGGGAUCAAACUGACACUGAAGUGCGAAAGCGUGGGGAGCAAACAGG
rnacentral:rRNA from 1 species